UACGUAGGGGCCGAGCGUUGUCCGGAGUUAUUGGGCGUAAAGCGCGCGCAGGCGGCCUCGCGCGCCCGACGUGAAAGCCCCCGGCUUAACCGGGGAGGGUCGUUGGGGACGGCGGGGCUUGAGGUCGGUAGAGGGGGGUGGAAUUGCUGGUGUAGCGGUGAAAUGCGUAGAGAUCAGCAGGAACACCCGUGGCGAAGGCGGCCCCCUGGGCCGUACCUGACGCUGAGGCGCGAAGGCUAGGGGAGCGAACGGG
rnacentral:rRNA from 1 species